CAGUCCAAGUGGAAAGGCGAGCGUUGGGCUCUAUAUGAAAACCCUGGUAGCCCGUGAUCUCCUCUUCCAAAAAUUUUAUGAAAAUGGCGAAGGAAGAGACUCACAGUCAGUGAUGGAAGCUGUGUUGUCUCCGGUCUCUCCUAUAGCUUUUCACGCCGUUGAUAACUCUGAUUGCUUCCUUUCUGCGCUUUUGUUUGUUUCCCUAGAAAAUUUUCCUUUUCUGUCUUGGGAAAAUUAAUCAAAUUGUGGACUUCUAUCGUUGGUUGAUUUGUUUAGAUUGGAGUUCAGCCAUAUGGAGGUGGUUUACGGCAUAUAUGGUUCGAUCGUGAGGUUGAUAGUAAGAUAAGAAAAUGAUUGCUUCGUUCCUUUUUUACAGCGUCUGGUUAGAAUCGAGGAGCCCAUUGUGCAUUUCCCCACACUGGCAAUUCACUUAGACAGAAACGUCGAUAGUGAUGGGUUUAAGGUGAAAACUCAGAUUCAUCUUGUCCCUGUCCUGGCAACUUCUGUCAAGAGUUCAGCAAAGUGUUUACCAAAUCGGUCCUGACUCCUGAAUCAAUGGAGAUCAAACUGAUGGGAAGAAAUCUACCAUUCACUCAAAGCAUCUCUCACUUCUACUAGAGAUGAUGGCAAGUCAUGCUGGCUGCAAACAUGAUGUAUGUGAUUUUGAAUUUCUUAAGGUCCUUCAACUCAGACUCUAAGGUGCUCCGGUUUCUGAUUCUAAGUUUUUAGGGGGGGGCAAUCAAUCUAAUUUCUCAGGCUUCAGUUUGAAAAUUUUGAAUUCUAGUAUAUAAUAUAUGUCAUUUCAUGCUUCUGAAUGACUGAAAUUGUAGAAGUGUUGCCUCUAAAUAUCUUGGUUAGUAUUUAUGGAUUUUCUACAGUUGCUCAUUCUCCUAGACAGGGGAUCUAAUAUCCGUUGAACCAACCUGUAGAAUCUGCAUAUGCCAUCGAUACAAAAGAUGGGAGAUUCUCAUCCAACUUACUUGCAUAGUCUUAUAAUGCAACUCUAAUUCAAUAAUGUGUGUGCAUUUGUAAGCAUAGUUUUUUUUUUCUUUGAAAGUAACUCAGAGGAAUAUGACAUAUGUUAUUUAUCAUGGUAGCAUGAAGAUAAUCAUCAGCCCAAUAUGCACGUUUGGCUCGUGAUCAAGCACAAUGCAAAUCAACGCUAUGCAACCAAUUCAGUCACUUCCUAUUUAGGGAGAUGGCACCAAAGCACAACCUUCCUGUUCAGGAUGCGCAAGACACAUUCCACCGCCAAGAACACAAAUUCCACUCUGCAUAAUUUAGAAGAAAUGAACUAGCAAUAGAAUACAAAAAGAUUUCAACUUUGAGUUGCUUGUGGUUUCAAUUACAUACCACAAGUUAUUGUCAUUGACAUGAAAGUUUGUAUUGGAAUUAACCCCCGACUGAAGUAAUCAUUUGUGAGAAAUUACUACGAAUGCAGUAUUAGUGGUCCUCAAUGACAUGCCUUGUGGUUCGACCAUUGCUCCAAUCCUAGCAUGUGGUGUGAGGAUUCGUACGGUUGAUGCAUGUGCCCCACAAUUAACGAUGUACAGUAUCGGAGAGAUGUGUGCAGUUGAUGACGUCAAGCAUUCCUAUGAGUAUUAAGGCUUUCUUCCAAGAGGUUCCUCAGCUGGAUGCAAAGAUCACAGUUGACGCGUUGGUCUCUGGAGCCUUGAGCCUCACAAAAAACGUUGUUACAUUGCCGAUUGCGUUGUUGAUGUUGCGACGGCUUUCGAAAAUUGAAGUGCAAGUUUAUAUUUUAAUUUUAAAGCAAUAUGAAAAAUGCUACACUAGAAAAUGACCUCCGUUGGUUGUGGAAUGGUUCCCCCCCCCCCCCCCCUUUUAUUAUUAUUAUUAUU